rnacentral:rRNA from 1 species
CGGGAGGCAGCAGUGGGGAAUAUUGCGCAAUGGGCGAAAGCCUGACGCAGCAACGCCGCGUGGGGGAUGAAGGUUCUCGGAUUGUAAACCCCUUUCGAUCGGAACGAAUCUCCUCCUGGUAAAUAAUCAGGAGGAUCGACGGUACCGGGAGAAGAAGCCACGGCUAACUCUGUGCCAGCAGCCGCGGUAAGACAGAGGUGGCGAGCGUUGUUCGGAUUUAUUGGGCGUAAAGCGAACGCAGGUGGUUUGGUAAGU